CGGGGGGCUGCAGUCGAGAAUCUUCCACAAUGGGCGAAAGCCUGAUGGAGCGACGCCGCGUGCGCGAUGAAUCUCUUCGGAGUGUAAAGCGCUUUUCUGUCUGAAGAAGGCAUCUUUUUGGUGUUUGACAUUAGGACAGGAAUAAGGGGUUGCUAAACUCGUGCCAGCAGCCGCGGUAAUACGAGUGCCCCUAGCGUUGUCCGGAAUUACUGGGCGUAAAGGGUGUGUAGGGGGCGCUGUUAGUCCUGUUUUAAAUUUUCCCGCUUAACGGGAAAAAUGGGCGGGAAACGGCAGUGCUAUGAGGGUGUGAGAGGCUGACGGAACUCUGGGUGUAGGGGUGAAAUCCGUUGAUAUCCAGGGGAACACCAAAAGCGAAGGCAGUCAGCUGGCGCAUUCCUGACCCUGAAACACGAAAGCGUGGGGAGCGAAAAGGAUUAGAUACCCUGGUAGUC
rnacentral:rRNA from 1 species